rnacentral:rRNA from 1 species
UUGACCUCGGAUCAGGUAGGGAUACCCGCUGAACUUAAGCAUAUCAAUAAGCGGAGGAAAAGAAACCAACAGGGAUUGCUCUAGUAACGGCGAGUGAAGCAGCAAUAGCUCAAAUUUGAAAUCUGGCGUCUUCGACGUCCGAGUUGUAAUUUGUAGAGGAUGCUUCUGAGUAACCACCGACCUAAGUUCCUUGAACAGGACGUCAUAGAGGGUGAGAAUCCCGUAUGCGGUCGGAAAGGUGCUCUAUACGUAGCUCCUUCGACGAGUCGAGUGU